GUGCAUGGAUCAGACUAUGUGCUUACGUUCGAGGAUAAGGAUGGUGACUGGAUGCUUGUUGGAGAUGUCCCAUGGGAGUGAGUUUCUUGUUCUACCUGUUUUAUAUUUAUGGUUAUAUUGCCACUUUCUCCGUAUUAUCGCAAUAACAGAUAGAAUAGGAUCCCGAUAAUGUAUUGUUCUACUUGAUUGUAAUAUUUACUAUUUGAUAUUCAUGGAUGUAAACUUUGUGCUUACAUGAUACUGUCAACAUUAGCCAGCUUUAGAAAUUAAAAUCAGAAGGUAAACAAGAGAAUUUGCAUGAAUAAAAAAUUUGGGUCCCCUUUGCCUAAAAAGCCUUGAUAAAUAUAACCUCUUAAUUCCUCAAGUUUGGGAAGUAUGGGUUCUUCCUCUGUGCUUCAUUGCCUUUUAUUUUCAUUUUCUAUAUCACUAGUAACAUAUCCUAGAUAAAUUCAGCUGCUUUAUAUGAUGGACUGGGGGUUAAUAAGAUACAUGAACUUGUUAUAUAACUACCUGUUUCAGAAUAGCCUAAUAAACCCUUGUAUAUUCCACAUAUCAAGAACUUUCUUCUGCUCUCGAGAAAAUGUUCAUGUGCUUUACCAUAAGUAAGCUUUUGUUCCAAUCGAAUCUUUAACUUGUUCAAUCUUUGUUUUACGUGAUGCAGUAGUUAUAAUUGUAUAUUGGCUUCAGGACAAUGUGGAUCCCAGGAAGCUCCAGGUAGGGAAAUGCUGGGCGAGAAUAAGUUCAAGGAUCUUGUGCAUGGAUCAGACUAUGUGCUUACGUUCGAGGAUAAGGAUGGUGACUGGAUGCUUGUUGGAGAUGUCCCAUGGGAGUGAGUUUCUUGUUCUACCUGUUUUAUAUUUAUGGUUAUAUUGCCACUUUCUCCGUAUUAUCGCAAUAACAGAUAGAAUAGGAUCCCGAUAAUGUAUUGUUCUACUUGAUUGUAAUAUUUACUAUUUGAUAUUCAUGGAUGUAAACUUUGUGCUUACAUGAUACUGUCAACAUUAGCCAGCUUUAGAAAUUAAAAUCAGAAGGUAAACAAGAGAAUUUGCAUGAAUAAAAAAUUUGGGUCCCCUUUGCCUAAAAAGCCUUGAUAAAUAUAACCUCUUAAUUCCUCAAGUUUGGGAAGUAUGGGUUCUUCCUCUGUGCUUCAUUGCCUUUUAUUUUCAUUUUCUAUAUCACUAGUAACAUAUCCUAGAUAAAUUCAGCUGCUUUAUAUGAUGGACUGGGGGUUAAUAAGAUACAUGAACUUGUUAUAUAACUACCUGUUUCAGAAUAGCCUAAUAAACCCUUGUCAAUUUAGAAGCCCUGUAAAUUACCUCCAAAAUACGGGGAUAAUCAAAAGAAUUUUUACAAACCAGAAAGAGGAGUUAGCUUGCCUAGUUUCCAACAUUCGUAGGGUUACUGGGCCUCACAAACAGCAACCCUCAUAACCAUUGGCUGUAUUUUUAACCAACCCUAAGCUUGGUGAAUUGAGUCACAUGCGCUAGACGAGAGUUAGAGGAACCUUAGUGAAAUGGAUUCCACUUUCCCCGCACAUCAUUUUUUUCCCUUGUGCUCUAUGUUACGAUUUCCCUUUUCUACGAAGAGCUCUUAGCCAUAUUGAUAAGCUAUAUUUGGUGAUAAGAUUGUUACUUGUUUUUCCUUUUAUUUUUAGCAAAUAAUUAUAAGUAUUUUUUUGGCGCGUUGUUUUGCUGAUUAAUCAGACUACAACAGAAUUGGGAAACCAUGUUGCUUGAUAAUGCUAUUAUCCUCAGGGGUUUAGUUAAAGUAUUUACUUAGACUCUCUUGUUGUGAUUGUAUUUUGGCUGUCAUUGGUAAUUCUUCUUCCAAAAUUAUUGACCACUUGUUUCUCUUUGCCCGUGGUUGGAUAAUCAAUGUGUGAUUCUGUCAACUUUCUAUAUCCUUUCUGAAUGACAAUAUAUGUUCAAGAGUUUGUUGAAUUCCUCGUGGAAAGGUUUGUACAACUUACACAGCUUUUGAAAAUGUUAUCCAUAAAUAAAAUAGCUUGGAGGGUACAAUAUUUAGGGAGUUUUGGACUCCAUAUUGCAUGGUUCAAUUCCUGGAAUUUUUGUGUGACGUGUAGAAAAAACAUAGGGAACACAAUUGACUUUUAUAUUUAAAUGAAAUGUCUGCUAGUAUUGAUACUUUCUUAAAUGAAGUUAUACGUGGUGCCUGUUCAACUAACACCCCUGACAUUUGUCCAAGUGCUCAGAUGAUUCCCUCAACUGGCUAGAUAAUUCUGGUAGGUGACAAUUUUAAUAAAUAUUAGGAGAAUCUAGAGAACAUGGGACAUGACAAUUUAUUUAUUUUAAAGGUCCUAUGCCUCUUCAUAUGUUGCUCAUAAGUGUUUCUGUUAUAG
rnacentral:lncRNA from 1 species